GGGAGAUACCAUGAUCAGGAAGGUGGUUUUCCCAGGGCGAGGCUUAUCCAUUGCACUCGGGAUGUGCUGACCCCUGCGAUUUCCCCAAAUGUGGGAAACUCGACUGCAUAAUUUGUGGUAGUGGGGGACUGCGUUCGCGCUUUCCCCUGAUUUUUCUUGGUGAUAAAGACAGAAGAGUGUGUUGUUUUGCACGGUGGUGUUUUGGCUUAACCAAGCUGGUUUACGUUUUAUCCGAUUUUAUGCAUUGCUACAGUGCUUCAAGGGCUUUUUAUCUUCUUGAGUUUUGCCUUUGUUUCAUUUUGUGGGUUUACAGUAUGGGUGUUUUUGGGUAUGGAGGUUCUGUGCUGCUGCGUGUAUAUUCAGGUCAAAAGUGUGUUUGUUAUGAACAUAACAUGUGUGAAGGCCCCGCAGUGAACGCGGUUCGCAUGAGCGGGCGUGUUCUUUCGUAGGUGCUUUCUUUAGUGUACAGGCUUAAAGGAACUCUUUGUGGGUGGUUCGUGCUGGGUAGGCCAAGGCCACGGUGCACACACUUCCAAAAGCUAGGGAGAAACUGCCUGUACCGUGGUCCAGGUUCGUUUCCGUUCGUAACAUGUUUAGGCUACGCGAGGAAGCAGCUCUGAGUUUUACACGUGUUAUAUUCCCUGCAAAUCUGAACCGCAGUCAGACCUGAAUCUUGGCCGGAAGCAUUGUGAUCCAACCGGAAACCUACACUAGAGAGUCUUGGGAGUCAAAGGUGACCACUUUCUCCUCUUGUGAGAGGCUGCAACUAGGCUGCCUUGCUGCGUCCUACUCUUUAAAUACCUAACCUUGCCUAAGACUUCAUUUUUUAAGCGUUAGUUUCCCUGUUUGGUGUCUGUCUUGCCAAUUCCAAAGACACCACCCACUCAUCCUUCCCACCCCAAAGCAGCUUUUUCUAUUUCUGCCUUUGGUUUUCCCUUCCAUCUCUUCUCUCAGGCUCUUUCUUGAUACCUUUUAUAGACACGAAAACACUAGCUCUCUCUCAGCCUCCAGUUUGCACCUGACACUCUUCAGUAGUGUGGCAAAUUAGGAAGCUUCCUUAAUAAGAGGGCAGCAAGAAUUUUGUCCUGGCAAAUAGAAACUACUUGACCAAAAGCAAACGGCAGGGCCAUGGCGGGAAGAACCAUCAAGCCUCCCCUGGUGGGUACCUCAGGAACAGCAUUCAGAAGCUGCUGAGACCACUGGAGAGACUCGGAGCAGGAGUUGAGUUGGAGGUACAGGCUUUGCCGCUCACUGGCCGUCCACUUGAAUCUCAAAGUCCGAGUCUUGAUGGGACUAAGCGGCCGUCCCCUCUACAGUCUGCACUGGAGGAGGAAGAAGAAACUUACCCCCUGCUGCCCUAUAGUUCUCGCCCGGAGAAUACAGCCAACUUGGGAUGACUGCCAGCAGCUCUUGCAGGUUCUCUUCACUACUGAGGAAUGGGAUAAGAUCCGUCACGAGGCCCGGAAAUUGGUGAUGGGGCCAAACAGGCAACCCACUGAGGAUCCCGCCUUACUCAAGGAAGUCUUUCCUUCCUCACACCCUGAAGAUUGGGACCCAAACACUCCUCAUGACCUCCACCUAUCCUACUGACGCUAGGAGACGACGUAAAGGAACAGCUGGAACAGGACCACUUGCUGGCUUCAUUCAUGGCCCUGCAACAUGUACAAAAGGAAAUAACCGGGGACUUAAAAGAAGCCUUCGCUCAUCCUCCUGUUCUUCCCCACCCCUUUCAACCAGGAGACUUAGUCUGGGUCAAGAGGCAUGAGCUUAAAACCCUGGAGCCCCGCUGGAAAGGACCACACACCAUGAUCCUGACUACACCCACGGCCGUGAAGAUAGACGGUGUCCGAACCUGGAUUCUUCACUCUCAGGUUAAGAAAACUGUGUGAGGGCAGGAACACCCCAGGCUGAUAUGGAACCAGAGAACAAACAGCAAUGGAAGGUCCAAAGGCACCCAGAGGAUCCUUUAAAGAUAAGACUAAUGCGGGCAUAAUAAUAAUUGCCUGGGUUUGUUUAAUGAUAAGCUUGGGAAACUGUAUGGGAUUGCACCCCCUAUCUUUUUGGCCAUACUGAUGGCAACUCAGGGACACAGUCACGGGAAAGGUAGUAGCGUCUAAUACCUCCUCCACUAUGCCCUGUUUUUUGUUUGACUUAUGUGACCUAGUGGGUGAAUCAUAGGGAACUUUAAUUACUAAUUAUAAACAGCCAAUGGGUUUUGUUCCUCCAGUCCCAGAAAACCCCUAUAUGACUACUUAUGGAUGUGGACACAGGGAUCAAGAACAAAAAUUGGCCAGUAUAACAGGGAUGUACGGCUGCCCAGCAGGUAAAAAAGAUGAAUGUGAAGGAGAAGGUCAGUACCACUGUGCCAAGUGGGGUUGUGAGACGCUAGCCCCCUGGCUAGCAGGACAGGGCCUUGACCCCCUAAUUACUCUCCUUAGAAUCCCGAAACCCCAAUGUGAGAUCCCAGGAACCUGUAACCCAACAAAAAGUAUGUUUAAAAAAGGUUUCUAGUUCCAGUACUUUCCCCUCCUUUUGGGACACCGGACACACUUGGGGUCUCCAGAUGUACACUUCAGGAGUUGAUAAGGGCACUUCCUUUACUAUACAGACGGUUAAGAGAAGAACUCCACCCAAUCCAAUAAGGCCAAACAAGGACAUGAUUUUAUCCCCCCCCCGCUCCUUCUGACUGUCCCUUCCCAACCUACCCUGCAAUCGGGUGCCCCCACAAAGUCAGAAUUACCGACUACAAGUCAUCACCAAAACCCAUUCUCCCCUGAGACACAUUGGUUAGAUGUAGUAAAUUCUAUGUAUGCCUGGCUGAAUUCAUCUCACACCGAGAUUGUACAAGAUUGUUGGCUGUGUUUAAACCCUAAACCCUCAUAUUAUGUGGGAAUGGCUACAAAUGCUAGCAUUGGACAAGACAUAGAAAAACAUGUCAUAAAAUUGCAAAAUCCAAGCAUGUCAUUGUGCCCUUGGGGUUCGCGACCAAUUUUAACGCUAGGAGACCUCCAAAGGCAGGGUUGGUGCAUAGUGUCCCAAGAAUAUAAUUGGCAGACCUCCCCUUACAAAAACUCUUGUGCAGAAGUGUACAUUCCAAGUAGUUCAGAUACCGAUAGCGCCCAAGAUAUAGCAUACUGAGCCCCUACUGGAGCCUGGUUUGCUUGCUCAUCAGGAAUUAUCCCCUGCAUUGCAGCUGCGUACUUUGGAGUCAGAACCCGAGAGAUUUGUAUCCUAGUUCAUAUUCUCCUGCAAAUAUACCUGUAGAGCGGAGAGGCAGGGAGAGAACAUUUACUUCUAUUAGAAGGACAAUCCAGGACAAAAAGGGCAGCCCCAAUCCUUAUUCCACUUCUGGUGGGACUAGGAAUUGCGGGAUCCACAGCUGUUAGAACUGCUGGACUCAUCGUAGGAGACCAAAAUUUCAAAACCUUGAGCAAGCAAGUAGACCUAGACCUAGGCUACUUGGAAACUUCAAUCUCUCGGCUAGAACAACAGGUAGAUUCUUUAGCCGAGGUUAUAUUGCAGAACAGAAGAGGACUUGAUUUACUCUUUAUGAAGGAGGGAGGCCUUUGCAUGGCCCUCGGGGAAACAUGCUGUUUUUAUGCCAAUAAUUCUGGAGUAAUCCGAGACACUCUCAGCCUGGUCAGAGAUAACCUUAGAGCUAGAGAACAGGACAGACAGGCCAAGAAUAAUUGGUACCAAAGCUUGUUCUCUUGGUCCCCCUGGCUCAUAUUGUUGCUCACCGCCAUAGCUGGGCCGCUGCUAUUGUUACUUCUUGGGUUACCUAUCGGCCAGUGCAUUAUCAAUUGGGUAGUACAGUAUGUCAACAGACGAGUUGGUGAAGUAAAAAUUAUGAUGAUUAGAUCCAAUUAUGUCCCCUUAGUCCCUAAUAAUGAAUCAAGGGAUUGAUUCAUUAACAAGACAAAGGGGCCUUAAUGACAGAAUGUCUAGAAUAAACACCCACAUCCUGGAACUUGUUCCUUUAUGUUGUUCCCAUAUGCUAAGACAAUGUGGUUGGGGCUAUAAAAACUCUAUAUGCUGGCUGUUUGGGGCCGCACUCUGAUCAAGAGUGUUGGUCCCGAUCGGUCAGCCUUGCCUCUCAUUGCAAUAAACUUUGCUGUGACUGUCA